rnacentral:rRNA from 1 species
CGCGUAGGCGGUUCGUCAAGUCGGGUGUGAAAGCCCUGGGCUUAACCUGGGAAUGGCAUUCGAGACUGUCGAGCUAGAGUAUGGUAGAGGAAAGCGGAAUUCCACAUGUAGCGGUGAAAUGCGUAGAUAUGUGGAGGAACAUCAGUGGCGAAGGCGGCUUUCUGGACCAAUACUGACGCUGAGGCGCGAAAGCGUGGGGAGCAAACA